rnacentral:misc_RNA from 1 species
AACGGUCUAUACCUGCGGUACCUGCGGAAGGAUCAUUACCGAGUUAUCCAACUCCCAACCCCUGUGAAUCAUACCUUUAAUUGUUGCUUCGGCGGGACUUCGCGCCCGCCGGGGACCCAAACCUUCUGAAUUUUUUAAUAAGUAUCUUCUGAGUGGUUAAAAAAAAUGAAUCAAAACUUUCAACAAUGGAUCUCU